GUGCUCACUUCUGCAGCACAUAUACUAAAAAUUGGAACGGCACAGAGAAGAUUAGCAUGGCCUCUAUGCAAGGAUGACACGCAAAUUCAUGAAGCAUUCCAUAUUUUU